CCAGAGGAAUUGUGAUGAAUUUCCUGGAACAACUUUGUUUUCUUUGUACUCUAAACCUCACACAACAACAGAAAUAACACACUUUGGACUGAUGUAUGGCUGAGAAGAAAGGUUUCCCAAUGAAGUUUCACCGAAUUGCAUGACUAAAUUUGUUGUGUACUUAUAACGAAGAGCCCUGCAGUACUUUGAAAUCAACAGUGGACAUUGACAGCACGUUUGUUGCAAAUAAUAUUUCUAAAGAAAAUCAAACAAAAAAAAUAUGGUAGAAGAGAUUUCUCUAUAUAGGAAAAUAGCAUUUGGGGUUGGGGACCUUGUUCUGUUAAUUGAUGUGAGAAGGAGAACAAGAAACAAAGGGUCAUAUCUUGUUUACCAACUGUAUGUAGCUAGAAUGUUAAAAAUCACACGAAUUAACUGUAGCAGAAGUUGAAGGAAUGUUGUUGUAGAACCUGGUGUGCGUUAACUGAAAUAUUUUGCUUAAUUCUGUAUCACCAUUUUUUCACCAAUUACUUUGCAAAUGUGCAGUGCCAGUCCUGCAGGAGGUGGGUGCAUGUGCCCUGCCUUCCAGAGGGAACCAGUCCAGACAAUAAGGAGAGAGCAGCUGCACGUGUGUAGUUGUGAUGUUUAUUGCACAUGUUGUACAUUGUAACUGAGCAAACCAGUCUGACAGUUUAAUAUUUAUUUUGUUAGGAUAACUAUUUUGAAUUUCUUGAAAUGAGGCAGUUGAAAUAUAAAUGAUGCUAGUUACAGAAGUUCAACUUGAAUGGAGAUUUCAGGGAAGAAUCAGAAAAUAAAUGUAAAUAAUUCUAUUUCUAAAACUCUGUUUAGAUGCUUGUUUUUAAAAUACUGUUAAAAUGUAAAUUAAAAUAUUCUGGUAUUUACACCUUAGAUCAUCACAUUUUCUAAAUUAGGACAAGCUCUCUAUUUUUUCCUCUCCAUAGUUUACAUUGAGAUUUCACAGGGGUAGAAAUUCUGACAGGAGUGAAUGACCCCAUCCCCCACCAUCUGCUGCCCCUGGGCAAGGAGACAGGGAAAGGGGAGGGGCAGCAAAUUGUGAUGGGUCAGAGAAGACACUAGCUGUGUCAGGACUGCCCUGUGCUGAGAGCUAUCUGUCACAGUGGACUGGGGUGGGUAAAACAUACGGGGGCAGGGGAGCGCUGUCUGGGAGCGGGUCCCAUUCACCCAGCCUGGGCCCAUCACUCACACAGCCCUGGGGCUGGGCUCUCCCUCCCCUUCCUCUGGCCCAGCUACUGAAUCCCCUUCCCCAGCUCUCCCCACCCCUCCCUCCAUCGCUGGGACCAGCUCCCCCACACGGCUGAGUCUGCGGCACAGAGCGGCCUGCACAGCAGGACCCCGGCACUCUCACCUGCCCCCGUGCUGCCCCCUUUGGCCUUUUCACACCCCUCCCUGGGCAGAGACUCCCCCAAGGCAGGAAAUGCCCCACCCACCGGGCUCCUCUCCUCCUCUCUGUUAUUUCUGCCAGGUGUCCUUCCUCCAGGGGGCCUCUCUUCCCCCCUCCCCCUUAUUACACCCCUUCUCUUGUGCUCGGACUCCGGAAUGACACUGAGGGGCGGUGGCAAGUGCUGGGAGGAGAAGCAGGGAAGGGGCGCUCAGGGGAAGAGGCGGAGGCGAGCUGGGGCCGGGGGGGCAGCACGGGUUGCUGCCGGUGGGUGCAGACACCCACCAAUUUUCCCAUGUGGGCGCUCCAGCCCCGGAGCACCCACGGAGUUGGCGCCUAUGGCACAAACUGGAACCCGUCUACCCGACCCGCUCCUGGCAAUUCCCUGGAACAAGGCAGAGGAGACGGGCUCGGGGAGGAUGGGGCCCUUUUCUCCAGGGCUGGGCUGGGGUCAUUGUGCUGCUCGCACCCCUCCUUGAGUUGUCCCUGCACAGGGGUGGGCCCUACAGUCUGUUGUCAUUUCUCCUGCUCCCCCACUGGGGUGUAUCCCCUUCCAGCGCAGCCGGGCGCUGGCUGUUUCUUUAAGAGAAAAAACUAAUCUCGUCCCGUGACCGCCUGGGUGACUUGACUUUCGCUUUCGAUCUCGGGCAGCGCUGCCGGAGGGAAGCCCCGGGCUCUGCUCGGAGCUCAGAGGUUUCUUCCCCGAAGGGCGAGGAGAAGCUGGGAAACUGCAGCGAUUUGGUAGCCGGGACUCAGCCCUGCAAUGGGAUCAACUGAAAGAGUCACUGACCGUGGAAAUCAUCGCACCAAACCCCGCGGAGUCUGAUCCCACCCUGGAGAUUGUCACACGUCUCAGACGGAGCAACCCGGCAGCUUCAUUUCGCUUCAGAACGAUCCCUCCCGUCCCCGCGUGUGUCCUGCUCCCUGCCCGGCCGGGCUGUUACUGACCCAAAGAGUCAAUAACCCGGGGUCAUUUAUUGAACUCGUUCUGUAAACACCGCGUUACCGGCACAUCCACAGUGACUGACACCCCGGUGCCUUUCAGACUCUUGUCCGAGCGGCGUAACUCGGGAUCUGUGCGGCAGGCUGGAUUCGUCAUUUGCUUCUUUCGUUUCAUUCAAGAACCCUGGGCCCGACCUUGUUCUCAGUGACGUCCCAGGGCGAUUUGUAACAAAUAACUUCCCGUAUUGAGAAUACCGGACGAGCUUUACUGUGCCACCCCCAGCUGUUCUGUCCUUCUGCCUCUUAACGUGACAGUUUCUACCUCUGCCUGUGGGGCUGAAUCCUGUUGUUUCUGACACUUUCAAGGGAAAAAAGGAAAGUUAUUUCCACAGUCAGUCAAGACAGAAACUUGCAUCCUGUUCUCCUUCUGAAGUGAGGGGGAAUUAAGCAUGUGCCUAAAGCAGACCAUGAAUUCAAGUGUGCUGCUGAAUAGGGGCUUCAUGACACCAUUUAAAAAGAGGCAGAUUUACACAGCGGUUGACAGAUCAUCUCCUACUGUGGGAACAGUCAUUGGAGGGGAGAUUUCCUGAGGAAAUGUAUAGGACUAAAGGUAGUAAAAAAAUUAAUUGUAAAAUACUAUUUCACAACAAUGAUUCACUUUUGUUUUGUUUGAAAUAUUUUUAAUUUCCAUUUUUAAUCAAAACUCAUUGAAACAAAAUUAUUUUCUUUUUUCAAUCAUUGCUCUUCUUCUUUUAGCAAGAAUAGGGGAAGGGUCAGGAAAAUGUUUGGAUUUUAUUUAGCAUUCCUCUUUUGAAUCAAUUCGAACUGUAUAUUCUCACUUAGCAUCAUUUCAUUGAAAAAUUAGAAACAUUCAGAUAAUAGGAAGAUUCAUUUUUAAAGUUUUUUUCUAAAAUCAUUCUAUUGAAAAAAUAAUUUUUGUUUAAACAUUUUGGAGAGCUACAGUGUUGUCAGCUCACAUAAUAUUUUUGUGAAUAUUGGCGUUUUAUUUUAAGUCUCACGCUAUCUGCUAAUUUUCCUAAAGCCCCAGAUCUCUAGUUUUAUGAUUAUGUGAGAAUCUCAGAUAUCAUUUAAGUAAAAACUAAAGUUCUCACCCUCACGGUUGCAGACAAAGUUUAGGAAUAUGACCUGAGUGCUCCCUCAGGGGUCAGAAACCAAAAGGCAAAAAAUGAGAACUUAAAAUGGAUUGUUAUCAUUAGAAUUUUAAAGCUCAUUAUUUUUAAGUCAGUCUCAUGUCUGUUUUUUGACCUGAUGUGAUUUUGUGUGUGUGUGAUUAUUUUUUUAAUUGAUUUUCAUAAAAAAACAGACAUUGGGAAAUAGAAAAAAAGUAACUGAAGUACAGUUUACAUCUUUUCCUGAAUACCUCAUUCUUCCUGGAUUGUCCUAUGACAUUGUACAGUUUUACAAUUUAUCAAAGCUGCAAGACCAGACAACACAAAACCAGACAACACUACACAGACAUAAUAUAUUAGGGAGGGCAUAACACUGACUUUUGAGUUUUGAAUAUUGGGGUUGACUGUGCUGCAGCUCUGUUUUCAAAACAAACAAACAAAUUUGAGAUUUGUACGAUAAUUCAUCCAAUCUACACAAACCAAGGAAUCACGGUUAUUAAUUUCACCCCUCAAAGUGUUGUUCUUUGGCAACGAAGGUCUGAAGGAAACAUCAGACACUCAGGGUGGAUGAAAUUGAUUUCAUUUUUAAUUAGAAAUAUUGUUUUAUUUACAUGAGUUUUUUAACUUGGAUUUUUUAAUUAAAGAUAAGAUUUUUAUUUUUUAAAAUAAACCAUUUCAAAAUUAAAUUUAAAAUGGUAACAACCCACGUUAAAUCCUAAACUCCUAUAAUCUAUUGAAAUCAUUUGAAUUAAAUAUACAUAAAAUAAUAUUCAAGCAGUACAUGUUUGCGGCAGAAGUUUUAAAGACCGUCAGACCACUGAACUAGUAGAAGUUACUGGCUAAGCACCUGGAACCAGGGAGCUUGCUGAAGUGCUAAACUAGUUUUUGACUGCAGUAGCCUCUUAUGCAGGUUCAGAGAAACAGAGAAAAUAUUUUCUUAAUUUCAGUGUAUUCAGUUAGCUCAGUUCAAUGACUAGUUCAUUCAGAGCUGAGAAACUGUUUGAGUUGAAAAAGUAGGAAAGCUUUUUAUCCUCUUCCAAUCUAUGAAUAAAACGUAAGGUGUGGGAGGAUGAGCUCUACCUGUUCUAAAAUCUUGAAGGACGUGGUGACCUUAAGAAAUCAGUUCAAUUCACUAACUACAGAUAAUAGUUCCUCUGUUAAAGAAAUCAAUUUUAAAUGCAAAAUUUGUUUUGGUCAACUUAUUUUUUUCUUCAAUAUCCAGCACAUUUAAGGAACUUUUAUUUAACACAUAAAAAGAGUUUUAAAAUGCUGGUUGUUUGGAUGGUUUGUUUUGUUGUUUGUCAGUUUGCACAAGUAAAAAAAAUAUCGAGUAAAUGAGAAGUGUGUCGUUCACAAUUGUUAACAUAAUUAAAAUGUAAGAAUCGGAAUACAUGAAUAAAUCUGAA